rnacentral:rRNA from 1 species
UACAGAGGGUGCGAGCGUUGUUCGGAAUUACUGGGCGUAAAGGGCUCGUAGGCGGCCAACUAAGUCGGAUGUGAAAUCCCCAGGCUUAACCUGGGAACUGCAUCCGAUACUGGAUGGCUUGAAUUCGGGAGAGGGAUGCAGAAUUCCAGGUGUAGCGGUGAAAUGCGUAGAUAUCUGGAGGAAUACCGGUGGCGAAGGCGGCAUCCUGGACCGAGAUUGACGCUGAUGAGCGAAAGCUAGGGGAGCAAACGGG